rnacentral:rRNA from 1 species
GACGAACCGAGCGAACGUUGUUCGGAAUCACUGGGCUUAAAGGGCGCGUAGGCGGGCUGCCGCGUCCGGGGUGAAAUCCUCCGGCUCAACCGGGGAAGGGCCUCGGAUACGGGCGGCCUGGAGUGGGGUAGGGGCGUGCGGAACUGUGGGUGGAGCGGUGAAAUGCGUUGAGAUCGGAAGGAACGCCCGUGGCGAAAGCGAGGUCCUGGACGCCUACUGACGCUGAGGCGCGAAAGCCAGGGGAGCGAACGGGG